rnacentral:rRNA from 1 species
GGUUAAGCGACUAAGCGUACACGGUGGAUGCCUAGGCAAUCAGAGGCGAUGAAGGACGUGCUAAUCUGCGAUAAGCGUCGGUAAGGUGAUAUGAACCGUUAUAACCGACGAUUUCCGAAUGGGGAAACCCAGUGCAAUUCGUUGCACUAUCGUUUGAUGAAUACAUAGUCAAACGAAGCGAACCGAGGGAACUGAAACAUCUCAGUACCUCGAGGAAAAGAAAUCAACCGAGAUUCCCCUAGUAGCGGCGAGCGAACGGGGAGCAGCCCAGAGUCUUAAUCAGCAUUAGCAUCAGGAGAACGGUCUGGAAAGGCCGGCAGUAAAGGGUGAUAGCCCCGUAUCCGAAGGUGUUAGUGUUGUGAACUCGACGAGUAGGGCGGGACACGUGUUAUCCUGUCUGAAUAUGGGGGGACCAUCCUCCAAGGCUAAAUACUCCUGAUUGACCGAUAGUGAACCAGUACCGUGAGGGAAAGGCGAAAAGAACCCCGGCGAGGGGAGUGAAAUAGAACCUGAAACCGUGUACGUACAAGCAGUGGGAGCACCUUUAUGGUGUGACUGCGUACCUUUUGUAUAAUGGGUCAGCGACUUAUAUUCUGUAGCAAGGUUAACCGUAUAGGGGAGCCGUAGGGAAACCGAGUCUUAACUGGGCGAAUGAGUUGCAGGGUAUAGACCCGAAACCCGGUGAUCUAGCCAUGGGCAGGUUGAAGGUUGGGUAACACUAACUGGAGGACCGAACCGACUAAUGUUGAAAAAUUAGCGGAUGACUUGUGGCUGGGGGUGAAAGGCCAAUCAAACCGGGAGAUAGCUGGUUCUCCCCGAAAGCUAUUUAGGUAGCGCCUCGUGAACUCAUCUUCGGGGGUAGAGCACUGUUUCGACUAGGGGGUCAUCCCGACUUACCAACUCGAUGCAAACUACGAAUACCGAAGAAUGUUAUCACGGGAGACACACGGCGGGUGCUAACGUUCGUCGUGAAGAGGGAAACAACCCAGACCGCCAGCUAAGGUCCCAAAGUCAUAGUUAAGUGGGAAACGAAGUGGGAAGGCUCAGACAGCCAGGAUGUUGGCUUAGAAGCAGCCAUCAUUUAAAGAAAGCGUAAUAGCUCACUGGUCGAGUCGGCCUGCGCGGAAGAUGUAACGGGGCUAAACUAUGCACCGAAGCUGCGGCAGCGAUAUGUAAAUAUUGUUGGGUAGGGGAGCGUUCUGUAAGCCUGUGAAGGUGUACUGUGAGGUAUGCUGGAGGUAUCAGAAGUGCGAAUGCUGACAUAAGUAACGAUAAUGCGGGUGAAAAACCCGCACGCCGGAAGACCAAGGGUUCCUGUCCAACGUUAAUCGGGGCAGGGUGAGUCGACCCCUAAGGCGAGGCAGAAAUGCGUAGUCGAUGGGAAACGGGUUAAUAUUCCCGUACUGGUGAUAAUUGCGAUGGGGGGACGGAGAAGGUUAGGCUGGCCGGGCGACGGUUGUCCCGGUUUAAGGAUGUAGGCAGGUGAAUUAGGCAAAUCCGGUUCACUAUAUGCUGAGGUCUGAUGACGAGUCACUACGGUGGCGAAGUAGCUCAUACCCCGCUUCCAGGAAAAGCCUCUAAGCUCUAGAUUAUCAUUAAUCGUACCCCAAACCGACACAGGUGGUCAGGUAGAGAAUACUCAGGCGCUUGAGAGAACUCGGGUGAAGGAACUAGGCAAAAUGGUGCCGUAACUUCGGGAGAAGGCACGCUGGCAUUAGGUGAAGUGAUUUACUCAUGGAGCUGAAGCCAGUCGCAGAUACCAGCUGGCUGCAACUGUUUAUUAAAAACACAGCACUGUGCAAACACGAAAGUGGACGUAUACGGUGUGACGCCUGCCCGGUGCUGGAAGGUUAAUUGAUGGGGUUAUCCGUAAGGAGAAGCUCUUGAUCGAAGCCCCAGUAAACGGCGGCCGUAACUAUAACGGUCCUAAGGUAGCGAAAUUCCUUGUCGGGUAAGUUCCGACCUGCACGAAUGGCGUAAUGAUGGCCAGGCUGUCUCCACCCGAGACUCAGUGAAAUUGAACUCGCUGUGAAGAUGCAGUGUACCCGCGGCAAGACGGAAAGACCCCGUGAACCUUUACUAUAGCUUGACACUGAACAUUGAGCCUUGAUGUGUAGGAUAGGUGGGAGGCUUUGAAGCGUGGACGCCAGUCUGCGUGGAGCCAACCUUGAAAUACCACCCUUUAAUGUUUGAUGUUCUAACGUAGCCCCGUAAUCCGGGGUGCGGACAGUGUCUGGUGGGUAGUUUGACUGGGGCGGUCUCCUCCCAAAGAGUAACGGAGGAGCACGAAGGUUGGCUAAGCAUGGUCGGACAUCAUGCGGUUAGUGCAAAGGCAUAAGCCAGCUUGACUGCGAGAGUGACGGCUCGAGCAGGUACGAAAGUAGGUCUUAGUGAUCCGGUGGUUCUGUAUGGAAGGGCCAUCGCUCAACGGAUAAAAGGUACUCCGGGGAUAACAGGCUGAUACCGCCCAAGAGUUCAUAUCGACGGCGGUGUUUGGCACCUCGAUGUCGGCUCAUCACAUCCUGGGGCUGAAGUAGGUCCCAAGGGUACGGCUGUUCGCCGUUUAAAGUGGUACGCGAGCUGGGUUUAGAACGUCGUGAGACAGUUCGGUCCCUAUCUGCCGUGGGCGUUGGAAGAUUGAAAGGGGCUGCUCCUAGUACGAGAGGACCGGAGUGGACGCACCACUGGUGUUCGGGUUGUCAUGCCAAUGGCAUUGCCCGGUAGCUAAGUGCGGAAGAGAUAACCGCUGAAAGCAUCUAAGCGGGAAACUUGCCUUGAGAUGAGUCUUCCCUGACCCUUUAAGGGUCCUAAAGGAACGUUUAAGACUAAGACGUUGAUAGGUUGGGUGUGUAAGCGUAGCGAUACGUUGAGCUAACCAAUACUAAUGAACCGUGAGGCUUAACCUG